rnacentral:lncRNA from 1 species
AUGAACUCCUGAUAUGUUAUGAUUCAUACUUUCACUUCUGUUUCUUAAUACUAUCAUUUUGAAAAAGUGAAAAUGAAACUGUUUCAUUGGUGAACAGUUCACAAGGGAGAAGAAAAGUCCUUCUGCCUCACCAUCCUAGAGCACUGGGAUUACAAGAAUGCACCGUCAUGGCUGGAUACACACAGGUAUGAGGUGGCCUGGACAUCUGAGGUAGCCCGGACAUCUGAGGCACCAGAGACCUUCCACUUAGAGAAGACCACAGAGUUACAUCCACGUGUUCCAGAGCAUUAGGUGGAUUGCAAGGAAGUACAAUUUCUCUUUGCCUCUUUCAGAAGAAAUACAUAGUUUUAACUGCAUGAAUCUUCUCCAAAUGGGCAAAAUUUAAAAGAUUUUUUUAAACAAAGGUCAUACUAAAAUGCAAGAAUUUUCACUGCUGAAAGGCAACAUUUUCACUGUUGCCAGUUAUCCUCAUGGUGCAGUCCUGAGUACCUGGAAUCCCAGCUAUACAAGAGGCUGAAGCAGGAGUAUCACGAGUCCAGACUAGAGACAGCAGAGCCAGACCUCAUCUCAAGAGCUAUAAAAGAAAACAACAAGAGGAAAACCAGCAAAAAACAGCCAAGCUCCACUGCCUUCAAAAUAAUAAGUCAGAAGUUACUUGUGUUUUGAUAGUAACCAUGAAGAAGAGUAUAAACAAAGAUAUUCAUUAUGAAGUAGAUUACUGUUGAAGAGAUUUUGGAUAGAUUCAUUGAACAGAUAUCAUCUGACUAGGAACACGACGAGAAUGAAGAAGUUAGUGAAGAAAGACAAGACUGGUGGGCAACCAUGUGAGCAGCACAAGCUGAAGGGGGCUGUGUGAGAAGGGACCCUGAUCUGACUGGAAGCAGAGCUGAGCCAGAAGGGUCGCUGCUUCCUUCAUUUACCCCAUCCACAAUUAUUCUUCAUAAUGUUGAUCAAUAUCCACUGGAGUAGGAAAAAAUGAUGAAUUGGAAGCUGCCAGGAGUGGAGCACCUUUCCUGUGCCAUGCCCUUCUGCCGUGAUGCCUCUGCUUUGCAGUCAGCUGACCAUGGACUAAAAUCCCUGAAACUCUGAGCUAAAAUAAAUCUUUCCUCCCUUAAGUUGUGGGUGUCAGAUAUUUUGUCAGGACAGCGAAAAGGUGGCCAAUAUGCAAGAUGUUUAAAUUCUGGAGAUCUCACGUAAAGUAAAGUGACAGUACUGCAUUGUACACUUGAAAUUUGCUGAGAGUGGAUCUUAAGUGUUCUCACCAAACACAAUAAAGUAGCUACAUGAUGGUGUGCACCUGUUAUUUAGCUCAGUUGUAGUGGUCAUUUCAUAAUGUACACAUAUAUCAAAGCAUCAUGUUGUACUAUAUAUAUAUAUAUAUAUAUAUAUAUAUAUAUAUAUAUAUAAUUUUCAUUUGUAAUUCAUGCCUCAGUAAAGCUGGGAAGAAAAUCCUAAAGAGAAAAUCAAUAAAUGAGUAAAAACAUAAAGUAAAAAUUUGUAAAGCUUAAAACUGUCAAUAA